UAUAUUACAAUAAUGUGAAAUCACCAUCCUCACAUAAACUUUUACAGUUUACAGAGGAUGGCCAUCUGUGUUUAU